rnacentral:rRNA from 1 species
CCCUUAGAUGUUCUGGGCCGCACGCGCGCUACACUGACGAAUGCAACGAGCUUAUAACCUUGGCCGAAAGGUCUGGGUAAUCUCCAAAUUUCGUCGUGAUGGGGAUAGAUUAUUGCAAUUAUUAAUCUUCAACGAGGAAUGCCUAGUAAACGCAAGUCAUCAGCUUGCAUUGAUUACGUCCCUGCCCUUUGUACACACCGCCCGUCGACUCUACCGAUUGAAUGGUUCGGUGAAAACUUUGGACUGUGGCAUUGUCCUUCAUUGGACUUCGCCGUAGGAAAUUGUUUAAACCUCAUCAUUUAGAGGAAGAAUAAGUCGUANCA